rnacentral:rRNA from 1 species
AAAAUUCUCUUUUUUGGGCACCCAGAGGCGAAGAAGGACGUGGUAAGCUGCGAAAAGCUGCGGGGAGAAGCACACAUUCUGUGAUCCGCGGAUAUCCGAAUGGGGCAACCCAUGCUGUUGAAGACAGCAUAUCCCGCAAGGGAGGCGAACCCGGGGAACUGAAACAUCUAAGUACCCGGAGGAGGAGAAAACAAAAGUGAUUUCCCAAGUAGUGGCGAGCGAACGGGAAAGAGCCCAAACCCAUGUUGUUACGGCAAUGUGGGGGUUGUAGGACCUGCAUAAAUUUUUCAAACGGAACAGGAACUGUCUGGGAAGGCAGACCGUAGGGGGUGAGAGUCCCGUACUGGUAAAGUUUGGGGAAUGGCGGGAAUCCUGAGUAGGCCGGGGUCGGAGACGCCCUGGUUGAAUUUGCCGGCACCAUCCGGUAAGGCUAAAUACUACUGAGAGACCGAUAGUGAACCAGUACCGUGAGGGAAAGGUGAAAAGUACCCUGAGUAAGGGGGUGAAAUAGAACCUGAAACCAUGCGCUUACAAGCGGUCGGAGUCCUUUUAGGGAUGACGGCGUGCCUUUUGCAUAAUGAGCCUACGAGUUACUCUUACUGGCGAGGUUAAUCCUGUGAACGGGAGGAGCCGAAGCGAAAGCGAGUCUGAACAGGGCAUGCAGUCAGUAGGAGUAGACGCGAAACCUUGUGAUCUACCCUUGGUCAGGAUGAAGGUGUGGUAACACACACUGGAGGUCCGAACUGAUAAGCGUUGAAAAGCUUCCGGAUGAAUUGAGGGUAGGGGUGAAAGGCCAAUCAAACUGGGAAAUAGCUCGUACUCCCCGAAAUGUUUUUAGGAACAGCCUUGUGGUUGAGUACGCUGGAGGUAGAGCUACCGAUAGGACUAGGGGGAGUCACAUCCUACCAAAUCCUGACGAACUCCGAAUGCCGGCGUAUAUACACAGGAGUGAGGGCAUGGGUGCUAAGGUCCGUGUCCGAGAGGGAAAGAACCCAGACUCACAGCUAAGGUCCCCAAAUCUAUGCUAAGUUGAACAAAGGAGGUCCAGUUGCUUAGACAGCCAGGAAGUUAGCUUGGAAGCAGCUAUCUUUUAAAGAGUGCGUAACAGCUCACUGGUCGAGCGACAGGGCAUCGAUAAUAAACGGGCAUCAAGUGUAGUACCGAAGCUUGAGAUACCGCCGAAAGGCGAGAGUGGUAGGGGAGCAUUCUCUCAUCAGCGAAGGUGUGUGGUAACGCAUGCUGGAGAGGAGAGAAAAGCAAAUGUAGGCAUAAGUAACGAUAAGGCAGGUGAGAAACCUGCCCACCGAAAGACUAAGGUUUCCUGUAUCAACGAUAAUCGGAUCAGGGUUAGUCGGGGCCUAAGAUUGAAGCGAAAGCGAAGAUCGAUGGACAGCUGGUUAAUAUUCCAGCACUUUCUAUGGGAGCGAUGUCGGGACGGGGCGAAGAAUUACCCGCGCACUGACGGAAUAGUGCGUUGAAGGGAGUAGGCGUUGAGAGUGUAGGCAAAUCCGCACUUGAGCUGAACCUGAUAGUACCCAAAGCCUUCGGGUGGCGGGAUAGUGGUAAAACAAGCCUCCAAGAAAAACGGCUAAGCAUAUGUCAUAGAAACCCGUACCGUAAACCGACACAGGUAGUCGAGGAGAGAAUCCUCAGGUGCUCGAGUGAGUCACGGCCAAGGAACUCGGCAAAAUAACCCUGUAACUUCGGGAGAAGGGGAGCCCACAGCGAUGUGGGUCGCAGAGAAAUGGCCCAGGCGACUGUUUACCAAAAACACAUGGCUUUGCGAAAUCGAAAGAUGAAGUAUAAGGCCUGACACCUGCCCGGUGCCGGAAGGUUAAGAGGGGGGCUUAGUGGAGCAAUCUGCGAAGGUCUGAAUUGAAGCCCCGGUAAACGGCGGCCGUAACUAUAACGGUCCUAAGGUAGCGAAAUUCCUUGUCGGGUAAGUUCCGACCUGCACGAAUGGUGUAACGAUCUGGGCGCUGUCUCAGCCGUGAGCUCGGUGAAAUUGUAGUAGCGGUGAAGAUGCCGCUUACCCGCAACGGGACGAAAAGACCCCGUGCACCUUUACUAUAGCUUUACAUUGACUUCGGAUAAACGAUGUGUAGGAUAGGUGGGAGGCUUUGAGCCGGUGUCGCCAGGCAUCGGGGAGCCAACGUUGAAAUACCACCCUUUGUUUAUCUGGAGCCUAAUCCGCUGCAAGCGGAGACAUUGUAUGGUGGGUAGUUUGACUGGGGUGGUCGCCUCCAAAAGAGUAUCGGAGGCUUUCAAAGGUACCCUCAGUACGCUUGGUAACCGUACGUGGAGUGCAAUCGCACAAGGGUGCUUGACUGUGAGACAGACAAGUCGAGCAGGUACGAAAGUAGGAGAUAGUGAUCCGGUGGUUCCGCGUGGAAGGGCCAUCGCUCAUAGGAUAAAAGGUACGCCGGGGAUAACAGGCUGAUCUCCCCCAAGAGCUCACAUCGACGGGGAGGUUUGGCACCUCGAUGUCGGCUCGUCACAUCCUGGGGCUGGAGAAGGUCCCAAGGGUUCGGCUGUUCGCCGAUUAAAGUGGCACGCGAGCUGGGUUCAGAACGUCGUGAGACAGU